UACGUAGGGGCCGAGCGUUGUCCGGAGUUACUGGGCGUAAAGCGCGCGCAGGCGGCUCGUCAAGCCUGACGUGAAAGCCCCCGGCUCAACCGGGGAGGGUCGUCGGGGACUGGCGGGCUUGAGGUCGGCAGGGGUUGGUGGAAUUCCCGGUGUAGUGGUGAAAUGCGUAGAGAUCGGGAGGAACACCCGUGGCGAAAGCGACUUCCUGGACCAAUACUGACGCUCAUGUGCGAAAGCGUGGGGGGCAAACAGG
rnacentral:rRNA from 1 species